rnacentral:misc_RNA from 1 species
UCAGUUCGGCUGUUCAAUAACUCUAAGAUUUAAUCUUAACUUAACACUAGUCAUGAAAUUUUACUUAAAAUAAAAUAUUCAAAACUUUCAACAACGGAUCUCUUGGUUCUCGCAACGAUGAAGAACGCAGCGAAAUGCGAUACGUAAUAUGAAUUGCAGGUUUUCGUGAAUCAUCGAAUCUUUGAACGCACAUUGCGCCUUUUGGUAUUCCGGAAGGCAUGCCUGUUUGAGCGUCAUUUCUUUCUCACUAGAUCUCGGUUUAGUGGUAUUGAGUGGUACUCUAUUACAGGGUUAGCGUGAAAUAUCAGUAGUGCGAGUGGUCGAAGCGACUUUCUCUCUGGAUAAUGUAUUAGGUUCUGCCGACUCGUUAGACAGGGG